UACGAACUGUGCAAACGUUAUUCGGAAUCACUGGGCUUAAAGGGUGCGUAGGCGGUCAUUUAAGUAGGGUGUGAAAGCCCUCGGCUUAACCGGGGAAUGGCGUCCUAAACUGGAUGACUCGAGUGAGAUAGAGGUGUGUGGAACUUCCGGUGGAGCGGUGAAAUGUGUUGAUAUCGGAAGGAACGCCGGUGGCGAAAGCGACACACUGGGUCUCGAACUGACGCUGAGGCACGAAAGCCAGGGGAGCGAACGGGG
rnacentral:rRNA from 1 species